rnacentral:tRNA from 1 species
AACCAGUUAGCUCAGUUGGUAGAGCGCUCCACUUGUAAUGGAGA